rnacentral:tRNA from 1 species
GCAAUAGUAGCUCAACGCCAGAGCGCCGGUCUUGUAA